rnacentral:rRNA from 1 species
UACGUAGGGGGCUAGCGUUGUCCGGAUUUAUUGGGCGUAAAGAGCGUGUAGGCGGCCAGGUAGGUCGGUUGUGAAAACUGGAGGCUUAACCUUCAGACGUCGACCGAAACCAUCUGGCUAGAGUCCGGAAGAGGAGAGUGGAAUUCCUGGUGUAGCGGUGGAAUGCGCAGAUAUCAGGAAGAACACCCGUGGCGAAAGCGGCUCUCUGGGACGGUACUGACGCUGAGACGCGAAAGCGUGGGGAGCGAACAGG